GUCUCAAGCAGAUUUAGAUUUAGAAACAUAGGCGUUGCACAAAAGAAUCCCAUUUGAAGUUUUGUAAAAUAGACCGAAAGGUUUUCAAGGAAGUCAGUCUGGACAGUUUCAGUUUGGAUUGAAGAACUGAACGGAUCGGUG